rnacentral:rRNA from 1 species
ACGUAGGGUGCAAGCGUUGUCCGGAAUUAUUGGGCGUAAAGAGCUCGUAGGCGGUCUGUCGCGUCUGGUGUGAAAAUCCAGGGCUUAACCCUGGACCUGCAUCGGGUACGGGCAGACUAGAGUGCGGUAGGGGAGAUCGGAAUUCCUGGUGUAGCGGUGAAAUGCGCAGAUAUCAGGAGGAAUACCGAUGGCGAAGGCAGGUCUCUGGGCUGACACUGACGCUCAUGCACGAAAGCGUGGGGAGCAAACAGGA